AUCCUAAUGGGCUGCACUAAUCAAACAUCUCAAUCUGUAUUUCAUCCCAAGGCUUGGUGUCUUCCCUAAGGCUUAGAAAGUAAAUUUGUCCAAGCUGUUGCACACUUUGGACCAGUCACUGUUUCUCUCUGGACCUCAGAGUCUUAACUGUAAAGUUCCUUUCCAACGUUGUCUAGCUUUAAUUAUAAAAAGCAGGAACAGCAACAUGUAUAUAUAUUUAAGGAUAGCUAGCAAAGUUAAAUCUAGAUAACUGGUAAAUCCAGAUUAGGAGAGUGCUUCCAUAUAGUUGGUACUCAGGCAAAACUCAAAGUCCUGAGGGGCCUGAAUGUGUGGAAAGAACUGGAAGAAAGGGAAGAGCCUCGUUUCAGCUUGGGGAAGACACUUCGCCAUGGAGUGGGAUCUCCCCGCGCCAGCUUCCCGGCAGGAAUCCUGGGCUCCUUGGAAAGGAAUUGCGGGGGGGCAGAACACGGAGGGAGAAAACUCAUUUUUCUUUCUUGUUUCCUUGAGUCUAUCCCAAACUCACGUUCUCCAUAUUUCCCAUCACAACCUCCACGUUGAUUUAUACUGUCAUAAACAGCAUUCUCGCGACUAUAACUUCUCUUAUAGCUUGGGGUGAGCUCCUUUUUCACUUCCCUAGCAGCCACUACUUUUAAAUCAGGCCUCAUAAAUAAUCUCAGCGCUUCCAGAGGAGGAGGUCAGUCAGUCGCCUCCCCGGGUCCACUUUCUUGGCUCGGGUCCCUCCGUGCCCCUCCCCCAGGUCACAGGCCGGCGCUCUCCCACCGCCUUUAGCCCACAUUUCCAGGACGCAGCCGCAGACACCAAUGCGGAAACUGGGCGCCAGCGCUCCGAUAUUCACACCCCCGUGCCCAGUCAGCGUGUGCACGUACCGCGCGUGCGCCGCCGCUGCCCAAGUUGAGCGCAAGCACGCGGCGCCGCAGCCCGCGUCUAGGCACGCUCUACCAGUGCCAGGGCCGAGCGUCAACGAACACGCACGCGCGGACGCCUACGCACGCGCACGCACGCACGCACGCGCCGCGGCCCUCCCCCCAGCGCGCGUAUCUCAUGGCCCAACUACUGCUCAGGGCGCAGUCUGCUCGUCAGGCUUUCUGCUGCGCGCCCUUGGGGUCAAGUUCGCGAACGGCCGCAGUGUUGGCAACCCUUUUUUCUUUUUUCAUACUAUCUAUGCUGAGAUUGAGGGGGCCGUUUUGUCACAGAAGUUCAACACAUUUUAGGCUCGUCCCAAACUAGCAAGAUCAGGUCGCGAUUUCUGGCCUUCUCGUUCAGAACCAGUUUGUUCCUGCCUACCGUGCUGCUUUUCGCUUUUUCUCUUCUCUCAGAAGGGCUGCUGCUCUCUGGAGCGAGAGUCGUCCAGACCCAAAUAGGGGUCACACUUGCUGCCAGGAGAGGCCUCUGCAUAAAAAUGCUUCUUUAAAAUUUUUAAAAAGUCGCAUAAUAGCCAAUGGACUUGGCAAAGCGUGACUUGCUCGGGCCACACGGAGGGCAGCCUUGGCAGUCAUCUGUGACUGGACCACCAGUUAACGUCGGAAACGUGCCUGUUCGCGGACGUAUUUGCAAACGUUUAAAGGAUGUGGCUGUCAAAUGUCAUUAGCCCACACGUUUUACUGGAAGGAGGGCACGACCAUGGCGUGUAUGCGUAGAAUAUUCUGGGGAGGUCAGAGUCUGCCUUCUGUAAUAGUCACAUGUCCCUUCCUGUGCAGACUUUUAUCAAAUGACUGGAGAAAAGAAGCCGGCACAUGAGCAGUGGAGUACGGGGGUGUGGAAGGAGUGCAUGCAAGACUUUGGGGUAAAAACUCGGACCCAAAUCAGACACUACAUAGAAUGAGGUGGAGGAUCGGAUCGAGUCAACCCAAUGAGUUCAAGCACUCCCCGUGUGAACUAUCAGGUCCUGAAUGCUAGAACCUGGCGUCCAGAAGUGCCAGUUGAGGCCAGGCAGCUUGAAAAAACCCGGUGAGCUGGAAGGGCUGGUGGCUGUUCAGGUGGGCAAAGAAGAGAGGAGAGCACAGGCCAGAGCCAUAUCAACAAAAUAGACCCACUGAAUGAUUUCAUUUGCUUUUAUGUGCAAUCUAAAUAUUCUUUUC
ensembl:lncRNA